AGAGUUUGAUCAUGGCUCAGAGCGAACGCUGGCGGCGUGCUUAACACAUGCAAGUCGAACGCGCAGUUCUCUGUAGCAAUACAGGGAGCCGGCGCGUGGCGAACGGGUGCGUAACACGUGGAUAACCUUCCUUCAGGUGGGGAAUAACCCCGCGAAAGCGGGGCUAAUACCGCAUAACAUGACGAUGGCACAUGCUGUUGUCUUCAAAGCCGCAAGGCGCCAGAAGAGGGAUCCGCGGCCGAUUAGCUAGUUGGCGAGGUAAUGGCUCACCAAGGCAAUGAUCGGUAGCCGGACUGAGAGGUUGACCGGCCACACUGGAACUGAGACACGGUCCAGACUCCUACGGGAGGCAGCAGUGGGGAAUCUUGCGCAAUGGGCGAAAGCCUGACGCAGCAACGCCGCGUGGGGGAUGAAGCUUCUCGGAGUGUAAACCCCUUUCGACCCGGACGAAUGCCCGCAAGGGUUUGACGGUACGGGUAUAAGAAGCCCCGGCUAACUACGUGCCAGCAGCCGCGGUAAAACGUAGGGGGCCAGCGUUGCUCGGAAUUACUGGGCGUAAAGGGUCCGUAGGCGGUGUGGCAAGUCGGAAGUGAAAUCUCUGGGCUUAACUCAGAGGCUGCUCCCGAAACUGCUGUGCUCGAGUGCGAGAGAGGCGAGUGGAAUUGCGGGUGUAGCGGUGAAAUGCGUAGAUAUCCGCAGGGACAUCCGAGGCGAAAGCGGCUCGCUGGAUCGCAACU
rnacentral:rRNA from 1 species